rnacentral:misc_RNA from 1 species
AAUUCUCAAACCCAUCAGCUUUUGUUGUUGGGCUUUGGAUGUGGAGGUUUUGCUGGCCUUUGUGUAAGGUCAGCUCCUCUGAAAUACAUUAGCGGAACCGUUUGCGAUCCGUCACAGGUGUGAUAAUUAUCUACGCCAGUGGAUUGCUCUCUGUCUAAGUUCAGCUUCUAAUCGUCCUUUUACAAGGACAACCAUUACUGAAU